CAGUAGCCGCGGUAAUACGUAGGUCCCGAGCGUUGUCCGGAUUUAUUGGGCGUAAAGCGAGCGCAGGCGGUUAGAUAAGUCUGAAGUUAAAGGCUGUGGCUUAACCAUAGUACGCUUUGGAAACUGUUUAACUUGAGUGCAAGAGGGGAGAGUGGAAUUCCAUGUGUAGCGGUGAAAUGCGUAGAUAUAUGGAGGGACACCGGUGGCGAAAGCGGCUCUCUGGCUUGUAACUGACGCUGAGGCUCGAAAGCGUGGGGAGCAAACAGGAUUAGAUACCCGGGUAGUCCCUGUCUCUUAUACA
rnacentral:rRNA from 1 species